ACGGGAGCUUGCUCCCUUAGGUCAGCGGCGGACGGGUGAGUAACACGUGGGUAACCUGCCUGUAAGACUGGGAUAACUCCGGGAAACCGGGGCUAAUACCGGAUGCUUGAUUGAACCGCAUGGUUCAAUCAUAAAAGGUGGCUUUUAGCUACCACUUACAGAUGGACCCGCGGCGCAUUAGCUAGUUGGUGAGGUAACGGCUCACCAAGGCGACGAUGCGUAGCCGACCUGAGAGGGUGAUCGGCCACACUGGGACUGAGACACGGCCCAGACUCCUACGGGAGGCAGCAGUAGGGAAUCUUCCGCAAUGGACGAAAGUCUGACGGAGCAACGCCGCGUGAGUGAUGAAGGUUUUCGGAUCGUAAAACUCUGUUGUUAGGGAAGAACAAGUACCGUUCGAAUAGGGCGGCACCUUGACGGUACCUAACCAGAAAGCCACGGCUAACUACGUGCCAGCAGCCGCGGUAAUACGUAGGUGGCAAGCGCUGUCCGGAAUUAUUGGGCGUAAAGCGCGCGCAGGCGGUUUCUUAAGUCUGAUGUGAAAGCCCCCGGCUCAACCGGGGAGGGUCAUUGGAAACUGGGGAACUUGAGUGCAGAAGAGGAGAGUGGAUUCCACGUGUAGCG
rnacentral:rRNA from 1 species